AGACUCAAUCUACCAUCUACUCGAUUCAUGGAGUGUGCGUCUGAGAGCAAUGGUCUGUAAAGUUGGAUGGAAAUAUGAACGCGCCUCAUAACCAAAUUAUUUCCUCAAAUAGUUAAGCGAUAAGACUAGUCUGUUUGCAUUGACAGACAGCAAAUCCGUAUAUGAAACGUAUGUUUGUGUUUAAUUAUAGGUGGCAAGGUAAGAGAAUUGAGUUGAAUUUGGCGCGGAGCGCGUGGGAGGCAUUGGCAAGUACGGUCUCAAUUCCGCGCUGAUAUGUUAAGGAGCGUACAUGCGCUCGACAGUUUGCCAUGAUGUCUCGAGUUCAGUCGAUGGUGUCGCAGAGGAAUCUCUAUCCAAAAUACACAUCAUCCCCGUUAUCGACGUUUUAACGACUGAAUACAGCGCGUUGCUGUCGUUUUCUCCAAAAGGAUGCGAUAUUGACGGAAUCCCCCUCAGAGGCGGCACACGGACCUGUUCCACAAGCUCCACUGCGGAAAGCACCCGAGUCUCAGAAAAAAAAAAAAAAUAUUAAGGAAUGGACACGGUAAACACAAGGACACUGGUGGAAUUACGCCGUUAAGAGCGCUGAACUUGACGGAUUUGUUUAUAAAGAAAGAUCAAGGUUAUACGAUGAAGACUACCGAGGACGCGGUUUAAUUUCCUGACUGGUGUAUUGGAAAUGUAUAACGGGGAUAUUAGAACAUUGAACACUUAAGCUCCUGUCAAGGUGGUUCGCCGAAGGUCUGGAAAAAAAAAUGCGCCGAGAAACGCGCCUUCUCUGUGAGGAAAUCUUCGUGGAUAACAUUCACAAGACGUCGGUCAGUUUCACAGAUGGCACAUUUCAACCACGGCGAGUCUUCUUCACUGACACCUCGUGACACGCAAGGGGCUGAAGCCAGGAAUGAUGGGAGCUGUAGUCUGCUUGAUGGUCUUAUGGGCUUUGCUGGGUUGGUCGCAGGCCGCAGAGAAACCUCCAUCCCUGAGUGUAGCUGUGAUACUGGGCCAAACCCCCACCGUAUCCGAAUCAGCCCUGCGUCCGGCUCGUGGGAUAGGUGCACCUCUGGAUGUGACUGUUCUCAGCGUCCAGGUGAACCAGACGGACCCAGGAAGCAUGCUUACACACCUGUGUGAGCUCAUGUCCCGACAGAGGCUGCACGGGCUGGUCUAUGGAGACGGCACGGACCAGGAAGCCGUGGCACAGAUGCUGGACUUUGUUUCCUCUCAGACUUCCAUGCCCAUACUGGGAAUCCAUGGCGGCUCUGCCAUGACAAUGGUCGAAAAGGUAAGCAUGCUUUACCGCCUUGCUGGCUCUAUGUGCUUUAUUUGUCCUCGACUUUGCAUUUACAGCAACCCACCGCAGAAUAUUUCAUCAUAUCUGGUAUCAAUUGGAUGUUUUCCACCAAGGCCUAAACAGAAAGCUUGAUUUCAAAUAUUCAAUGCCAUGUUUUGGAUUGUCUAGCUGUGUGGCAUUAAACGAGACACAAUUCAGAUACCUGACAGAUUUUCUUUAUCAGCCAUGCCAUCUGCAUCAGAUAUAGCCUGACGGAUUGCCAGUCUUCCUGUCACUGUCCCUCUGUCUGUCUAUUUGUUUCUGCAAAGUUGGCAAUGAGCUGUGUUUAUAGCAAAAUGGGUUGCAGUUGUGUAGGUGUGACAGAAACCUGCGGCCGGGGUAGUGACAGAGCUGCCUCAAAAGAGCCGAGAAAGUUUAUGAUUGCAAAUGGAUUCAUUGAUGCUGUCUUUAUUUUAUGUUAAACAUCAAUGAUUUUUUUUACAUUUUUAAUUCAUUAUCAAAUGGAUGCAUUUGACUAUUAGGCUAUUACUACACAGUCUUCAUCCACAUAAACUGUAGAAACUUCUUGUAGACGACCAUGUCAUCCCAUUGCAUCAUCUGGCUGAGUUCACUUCAAACUACCCUUCCAAAUAGUGAUUUGAUGAUUUUAGAUGAACGCACAAUCCCUUUUAACAGUGAUGAAAUACUACCACAAAGUAAGUGGAUUGUGCUACUUUGUCAAAGCUCAUGGUUAGAAACGUUUCUCGCUUAAA